rnacentral:rRNA from 1 species
UACGUAGGUGGCAAGCGUUGUCCGGAAUUAUUGGGCGUAAAGCGCGCGCAGGCGGUCUCUUAAGUCUGAUGUGAAAGCCCACGGCUCAACCGUGGAGGGUCAUUGGAAACUGGGGGACUUGAGUACAGAAGAGGAAAGCGGAAUUCCACGUGUAGCGGUGAAAUGCGUAGAGAUGUGGAGGAACACCAGUGGCGAAGGCGGCUUUCUGGUCUGUAACUGACGCUGGAGGCGACGAAGACGUGGGGGAGCAAACAGG